AAUGAACGCUGGCGGCAUGGAUUAGGCAUGCAAGUCGAACGGGCCGCCUUUCGCAAGAGAGGCGGUCAGUGGCGAAAGGGUGCGUAACACGUGAGCAACCUGCCCCCGAGUCCGGGACAGCCCGCGGAAACGCGGAUUAAUACCGGAUGUGGUACCCUGCUGCAUAGCAGGGCCACUGAAGAUUUAUCGCUCGGGGAUGGGCUCGCGGCCCAUAAGCUCGUUGGCGGGGUAACGGCCCACCAAGGCUAUGACGGGUAGGUGGUCUGAGAGGAUGGUCACCCACACUGGGACUGAGACACUGCCCAGACUCCUACGGGAGGCUGCAGUCGAGAAUCUCCCGCAAUGGGCGCAAGCCUGACGGAGCGAUGCCGCGUGAGGGAUGAAGGCCUUCGGGUUGUAAACCUCUGUCAGAGGGGACGAAGAAUGUGACGGUACCCUCAGAGGAAGCCACGGCUAACUACGUGCCAGCCGCCGCAGUAACAC
rnacentral:rRNA from 1 species